UACGGAGGGGGCUAGCGUUGUUCGGAAUUACUGGGCGUAAAGCGUACGUAGGCGGCUUUGUAAGUUAGAGGUGAAAGCCCGGGGCUUAACCCCGGAAUUGCCUUUAAGACUGCAUCGCUAGAAUCAUGGAGAGGUGAGUGGAAUUCCGAGUGUAGAGGUGAAAUUCGUAGAUAUUCGGAAGAACACCAGUGGCGAAGGCGACUCACUGGACAUGUAUUGACGCUGAGGUGCGAAAGCGUGGGGAGCAAACAGG
rnacentral:rRNA from 1 species